rnacentral:rRNA from 1 species
CCCUUAGAUGUUCGGAGCUGCACGCGCGCUACACUGAUGCAUUCAACGAGCCUAUCCUUGACCGACAGGUCCGGGUAAUCUUUGAAUCUGCAUCGUGACGGGGAUAGAUUAUUGCAAUUAUUAAUCUUCAACGAGGAAUGCCUAGUAGGCGCAAGUCAUCAGCUUGCGUCGAUUACGUCCCUGCCCUUUGUACACACCGCCCGUCGCUCCUACCGAUUGGGUGUGCUGGUGAAAUGUUCGGAUCGGCCGUUUGUCGCGGUUUCCGCGUCAUGUGGCUGAGAAGUUCAUUAAACCCUCCCACCUAGAGGAAGGAGAAGUCGUAACA